CUAACAAGGAUUCCCCUAGUAACGGCGAGUGAAGCGGGAAGAGCUCAAAUUUAAAAUCUGGCAAUCUUUGGUUGUCCGAAUUGUAAUCUAGAGAAGCGUUUUCCGUGCUGGACUGUGUACAAGUUUCCUGGAUACGGAACAUCAUAGAGGGUGAGAAUCCCGUCCUUGACACAGACUGCCAGUGCUUUGUGAUGCGCUCUCGACGAGUCGAGUUGUUUGGGAUUGCAGCUCAAAAUGGGAGGUAAAUUCCUUCUAAAGCUAAAUAUUGGCGAGAGACCGAUAGCGAACAAGUNCCGUGAGGGAAAGAUGAAAAGCACUUUGGAAAGAGAGUUAAACAGUACGUGAAAUUGUUAAAAGGGAAACGCUUGAAGUCAGUCGCGUUUGCUUGGACUCAGCCUNACUUCGGUUUGGUGCAUUUCCUUGUANACGGGCCAGCGUCCAUGUUGUUUGUCGGAAAAGGGGUUGGAGAAUGUGGCUCCUUCGGGAGUGUUAUA
rnacentral:rRNA from 1 species